rnacentral:rRNA from 1 species
UACGGAGGGUGCAAACGUUGUUCGGAAUCAUUGGGCGUAAAGGGCACGCAGGCGGCGUGUCAGGUCGGAUGUGAAAGCCCGGGGCUCAACUCCGGAAUUGCGUUCGAAACCGGCAUGCUAGAGUUCUGGAGAGGAAAGUGGAAUUCCUGGUGUAGGGGUGAAAUCCGUAGAUAUCAGGAGGAAUACCGAAGGCGAAGGCAGCUUUCUGGCCAUGAACUGACGCUGAGGUGCGAAAGCGUGGGUAGCAAACAGG